AUUGAACGCUGGCGGCAUGCUUUACACAUGCAAGUCGAACGGUAACAGGUUAAGCUGACGAGUGGCGAACGGGUGAGUAAUGCAUCGGAACGUGCCCGAUCGUGGGGGAUAACGCAGCGAAAGCUGCGCUAAUACCGCAUACGAUCUGAGGAUGAAAGCGGGGGACCGUAAGGCCUCGCGCGAUCGGAGCGGCCGAUGUCAGAUUAGGUAGUUGGUGGGGUAAAGGCUCACCAAGCCGACGAUCUGUAGCUGGUCUGAGAGGACGACCAGCCACACUGGGACUGGGACACGGCCCAGACUCCUACGGGAGGCAGCAGUGGGGAAUUUUGGACAGUGGGCGAAAGCCUGAUCCAGCAAUGCCGCGUGCAGGAAGAAGGCCUUCGGGUUGUAAACUGCUUUUGUACGGAGCGAAAAGGCUCUCUCUAAUACAGGGGGCUCAUGACGGUACCGUAAGAAUAAGCACCGGCUAACUACGUGCCAGCCGCCGCGGUAAGAC
rnacentral:rRNA from 1 species